CUUUGUUCCUCCCUCAGAAUGAAUGGACACCAGAAAUCAGAUGUUUAUGCCCAAGAAAAGCAGGAUUUUGUUCAGCACUUCUCCUAGAUUGUUAGGGUGCUGACUGAGGAAAGAUGGGGCAUCCAGAGACAGAAGAUGCUAUUGCCCAGCUCACGGAGGUCCUGGAGUACAAUGCCAUUGGAGGCAAGUAUCCCCCAGGUUCGACGGUGCUAGUAGCACUUGGGGGAACUGAUGGAGCCAAGGAAACAGGAUGCUGAUAGUCUCCAACAGGCCCUGACUGUCGGCUGGUGUGUGGAACUGCUGCAAGCUUUCUUCCUGGUGGCAGAUGACAUCAUGGAUUCAUCCUUCACCUGCCGGGGACAGAUCUGCUGGUAUCAGAAGCCGGGCAUGGAUUUAGAUGCCGUCAAUGAUACUAUCCUUCUGGAAGCAUGUAUCUACCACCUGCUGAAGAUCUAUUGCCGGGAGCAGCCCUAUUACCUGAACCUGACAGAGCUCUUCCUGCAGAGUUCCUAUCACACUGGGAUUAGGCAGACCCUGGACCUCAUCCCAGCCCCCCAGGGCAAUGUGGAUCUUGGCAGAUUCACUGAAAAGAAGCACAAAUAUAUUGUCAAGUACAAGACAGCUUUCUACUCCUUCUACCUUCCUGUAGCUGCAGCCAUGUACAUGGCAGGAACUGAUGGCAAGAAGGAGCACACCAAUGCCAAGAAGAUCCUGCUGGGGAUGGGAGAGUUCUUUCAGGUUUAGGAUGAUUACCUUGACCUCUUUGGGGACCCCAGUGUGACAGGUGAAGUUGACAGUGACAGCCAGGACCAAAAAUGCAGCUGACUGGUGGUUCAGUGUCUGCGACAGGCCACUCCGGAACAAUAUCAGAUCCUGAAGGAAAAUUCAGGCAGAAGGAAGCUGAGAAGAUGGCCCAGGUGAAGGCACUAUAUGAGAAGCUGGAUCUGCCAGCCGUUUUCUUGCAAUAUGAGGAAGACACUUACAGUCACAUUAUAGGACUCACUGAAGAGUAUGCAGCGACCCUGCCCCCAGCAUCUUUCUGGGGCUUGCACACAAAAUCUACAAGUGGAAAAAAGUGACCUAG